rnacentral:lncRNA from 12 species
AUUUCCUUUAGUUCUUUGAAUAUAUUCAUAAUGGCUACUAAUUUUUGUUGAAAGCUAGAUGUCUUAUAUAUUGAUUAGAUUCUUGUUUCUAUUUAUGUUCUCGUUCAAGAGGAAUUGAGUACUGGACCAGUGGAAAUUCAUUUGCAUAAGAACAACCUAAAUCCUCAAGAAGAAAGUGAUGAGGAGAGAUUUUGGCCUGUCAGUUAAACCUUUAAAGUACCAGUAUCAAGUGGCUUACAAAGCCAAAAUAGAAAACACUACAAACAAAACUGAUAACUGGGGAUCCAAGACACUUCAAGAAAGUAUGGAGAUUAUCCUGUAUUGUGUACAAAGUAAUAAUAGAUCUGGAAAAGAGCUGCUGAAAAAUGAACUCACUCUACAUUCUUUGCAUUUGACAUAAUCAAUUCUAAGAAAUGACUGGACAUAGUUAUGUUCCCAGAUCUUGACUCUGAGUUAAAGGUUCAAUGAAGUUCGGUAUGGACCAGCCUCCAAGACACUAAAGAUGAGCUACACAAGUCAUUUCUGCCACCACUACUUCUAAGAUUUUUAUUUUAAGCCAAAAAAUAUUAUGAACUAAUGUUGGUGUCCUGAGAGGUCACUGGGAGAAGCCAAAGUGCCACGUUAUCAGUUUAUUCAUCCAGCCUAUGGAGAUAAUUGAGUGAUGAGGAACCAACACUUGCCAAUACCCACAUGUAUGAGUUUGGAAGAAGAUUAUUCAGGCCUGAUGAAGGUUGAGAUAAGCCAGCCCCCCAAUGAAAGACCCUGAACAGAAUCAUUUAGCUAAUUUGUUCCUGGAUUCCUGACCCACCAAAAACUGUGAGAUAAAAAUGUUCAUUUUUUAAAGCUGUUAAGCUGUUAAGUGUUGUAGUGAUUUGUUUUUUUAACAGUGGUAAUGAAUGUGCUAAUUUGAAAUUAGCGGUUUGGCGCCUGCCUUUGGCCCAGGGCGUGAUCCUGGAGACCCGGGAUCGAAUCCCAAGUCGGGCUCCCAGUGCAUGGAGCCUGCUUCUCCCUCUGCCUGUGUCUCUGCCUCUCUCUCUCUCUCUCUCUCUCUGUGUGUGUGUGUGUGACUCUCAUAAAUAAAUUAAAAAAAAAAAUUAAAAAAAAAAGAAAA